rnacentral:rRNA from 1 species
CAACUGGGAUUGCCCUAGUAACGGCGAGUGAAGCGGCAAUAGCUCAAAUUUGAAAUCUGGCUCCUUUUAGGGGUCCGAGUUGUAAUUUGCAGAGGGUGCUUUGGCGUUGGUAGCGGUCUAAGUUCCUUGGAACAGGACAUCGCAGAGGGUGAGAAUCCCGUUUGUGGUCGCAUGCCUUCGCCGUGUAAAGCCCCUUCGACGAGUCGAGUUGUUUGGGAAUGCAGCUCUAAAUGGGAGGUAAAUUUCUUCUAAAGCUAAAUACUGGCCAGAGACCGAUAGCGCACAAGUAGAGUGAUCGAAAGAUGAAAAGCACUUUGGAAAGAGAGUCAAACAGCACGUGAAAUUGUUGAAAGGGAAGCGCUUGCAGUCAGACUUGCCCGUAGUUGCUCACCUAGGCUUUUGCCUGGGGCAUUCUUCUACGGGCAGGCCAGCAUCAGUUUGGGCGGUCGGAUAAAGGUCUCUGUCAUGUAACUUCCUUCGGGAAGAACUUAUAGGGGAGACGAAAUGCGACCAGCCCGGACUGAGGUCCGCGCUUCUGCUAGGAUGCUGGCGUAAUGGCUGUAAGCGGCCCGUCUUGAAACACGGACCAAGGAGUCUAACAUCUAUGCGAGUGUUUGGGUGUCAAGCCCGAGCGCGUAAUGAAAGUGAACGGAGGUGGGAACCCUUUGGGUGCACCAUCGACCGAUCCUGAUGUCUUCGGAUGGAUUUGAGUAAGAGCAUAGCUGUUGGGACCCGAAAGAUGGUGAACUAUGCUUGAAUAGGGUGAAGCCAGAGGAAACUCUGGUGGAGGCUCGCAGCGGUUCUGACGUGCAAAUCGAUCGUCAAAUUUGGGCAUAGGGGCGAAAGACUAAUCGAAC